UACGAAAGGAGCAGGUGUUAUUCAGAUUAACUGGGCGUAAAGGGCACGUAGGUGGUUUGUUUAUGUGUAUUAUUAAAUUGUAAAGCAUAACUUUAUAACGUUAUUACAGACAACAAAACUAGAGUUAGGUAGAGGGUAGUAGAAUUUCUAAUGUAAAGGUGAAAUUUUGAUAAAAAUUUAGAGAGAAUACCAAUGGCGUAAGCAACUAUCUGGUCCUUAACUGAUAUAG
rnacentral:rRNA from 1 species